rnacentral:rRNA from 1 species
AGCGAACGCUGGCGGCAGGCCUAACACAUGCAAGUCGAACGGACCCUUCGGGGUUAGUGGCGGACGGGUGAGUAACACGUGGGAACGUGCCUUUAGGUUCGGAAUAGCUCCUGGAAACGGGUGGUAAUGCCGAAUGUGCCCUUCGGGGGAAAGAUUUAUCGCCUUUAGAGCGGCCCGCGUCUGAUUAGCUAGUUGGUGGGGUAAUGGCCCACCAAGGCUACGAUCAGUAGCUGGUCUGAGAGGAUGACCAGCCACAUUGGGACUGAGACACGGCCCAAACUCCUACGGGAGGCAGCAGUGGGGAAGUCUUGCGCAAUGGGCGAAAGCCUGACGCAGCCAUGCCGCGUGUAUGAUGAAGGUCUUAGGAUUGUAAAAUACUUUCACCGGUGAAGAUAAUGACUGUAGCCGGAGAAGAAGCCCCGGCUAACUUCGUGCCAGCAGCCGCGGUAAU